rnacentral:sRNA from 1 species
UAAACAAUAUACUUUGAGGGGAGCAUU